GAUGAACGCUGGCGGCGUGCCUAAUACAUGCAAGUCGAACGAACAGACGAGGAGCUUGCUCCUCUGACGUUAGCGGCGGACGGGUGAGUAACACGUGGAUAACCUACCUAUAAGACUGGGAUAACUUCGGGAAACCGGAGCUAAUACCGGAUAAUAUAUUGAACCGCGUGGUUCAAUAGUGAAAGACGGUUUUGCUGUCACUUAUAGAUGGAUCCGCGCCGCAUUAGCUAGUUGGUAAGGUAACGGCUUACCAAGGCAACGAUGCGUAGCCGACCUGAGAGGGUGAUCGGCCACACUGGAACUGAGACACGGUCCAGACUCCUACGGGAGGCAGCAGUAGGGAAUCUUCCGCAAUGGGCGAAAGCCUGACGGAGCAACGCCGCGUGAGUGAUGAAGGUCUUCGGAUCGUAAAACUCUGUUAUUAGGGAAGAACAAAUGUGUAAGUAACUAUGCACGUCUUGACGGUACCUAAUCAGAAAGCCACGGCUAACUACGUG
rnacentral:rRNA from 1 species